AAAAUACACAACAAGAAUAGCAACAACAACAACAUAAUGAUGACAAUCAUCUAUAUUAUUGUACAUCGUUCCUAGGUUUUUUUUUUUUUUUUUUUUUGGUUUUUCCC
rnacentral:ribozyme from 1 species